GCCAGACUCCUACGGGAGGCAGCAGUGGGGAAUAUUGCACAAUGGGGGGAACCCUGAUGCAGCGACGCCGCGUGAGGGAAGAAGGUUUUCGGAUUGUAAACCUCUGUCCUCUGUGACGAUAAUGACGGUAGCAGAGGAGGAAGCCACGGCUAACUACGUGCCAGCAGCCGCGGUAAUACGUAGGUGGCGAGCGUUAUCCGGAAUUACUGGGUGUAAAGGGAGCGUAGGCGGACUUUUAAGUGAGAUGUGAAAUACUCGGGCUCAACUUGAGUGCUGCAUUUCAAACUGGAAGUCUAGAGUGCAGGAGAGGAGAAUGGAAUUCCUAGUGUAGCGGUGAAAUGCGUAGAGAUUAGGAAGAACACCAGUGGCGAAGGCGAUUCUCUGGACUGUAACUGACGCUGAGGCUCGAAAGCGUGGGGAGCAAACAGGAUUAGAUACCCGUGUA
rnacentral:rRNA from 1 species